CUUCAAGAAGACCAUGGAGUCUAAGAAGAACUAUGAGGUGAAGUGCAAGGAGGCCGAUGAGGCAGAGCAGGGGGCUGAGAAAACAAAUGCUACGUCCAAAAACCCUGAAAAGGUACGUCACAAGAUAAAGCAAUGCAGGCAGGCGGCCAAUGAUGCUGAGAAGGUGUAUUUUAACAACAUUGUUCAACUAGAAGCUGUUCGCCAGGACUGGGAGGG